UACGGGGGGGGCAAGCGUUGUUCGGAAUUAUUGGGCGUAAAGGGCGCGUAGGCGGCUUUGCAAGUGACGGGUGAAAUCCCUCGGCUUAACCGAGGAACUGCCUGUCAGACUGUAAGGCUUGAGGCCGGGAGAGGUGAGUGGAAUUCCCAGUGUAGCGGUGAAAUGCGUAGAUAUUGGGAGGAACACCAGUGGCGAAGGCGGCUCACUGGACCGGUACUGACGCUGAGGCGCGAAAGCGUGGGGAGCAAACAGG
rnacentral:rRNA from 1 species